rnacentral:lncRNA from 1 species
GUUGAAUUUUACUCAUGGAAAGGAGAUGAUUAUUCCAGGUUCAGAUUAAUGUUUGUUUCCAUGAUUUCAUGAUUUUGGCUCUGGUUUCCCAAAAUUCUGUUUAUUUCCUAAGUACUUUCUGUCUCGUAGGUCAAGAGGUGUGUAUGAUUAAUAUUUUUCCUAGCACACCAGUCCCUUCCUUUCCUCAGCUCAUACCCUUGAGAUGGAUCACAUACAUAAAGAUUAUGUUACUUCCAACUCUUUAGCAGAUGAGCGUGUCCAGGAAGCUGCUAGAGUCUACAAGCCAAGGAAGAGCUUUGCAGUACUGACGGCGGUGAUAAUUCUCUGUAAUACUCACCAUGGAACAGGCCAACUUGAAAGAUGGCAAGACCAUCCCAGGGGCCUGGCCCAGAGGGCGCGCUCUGCCCGACCGCCCGACCCACUGCCGAUGCCCAGCAGGGAGGCCUGCACGGCCCAGACCCAGGCUCCAAGCAC